rnacentral:lncRNA from 1 species
CUCUACAGUGUUUCAUGUAUAAACUUGUUGAUGUAUAAAGCUCACCAUAGUUUGAAUUCUCAGAUCCCUCAGUGUAUGGGGGGGAGUGAUCCCUUCAUGAAAUUUGUAUUUUCCAUAGUCAGAGUACUCUCAAGAAUAUACCUGUGAUGGCAGUAGGAUUCUAUAUAUGUAUAUCAAAAUAUGUAUUGUGACCCAGGCGACAGAGACAGGGAGUCAGGAAGUUACAUAUUUGUUAACUUUGCAAAUUCAUAGAGAAGUAAUAUGAGAAAAAAAUGUGACAGGUUUUAUAAUAUGUAUCCCUGAAGAAGCAAAAGGCAAGUCCAAGUUUCCACCAUGCCACGUAUGAAAUGCCUGUACUUUUAUUAGUUUAUGAUUAUUUUUAUCCAUGUUAGGAUUAGUAGUCAGAGUCUAGUAGGUUAUGGGUUAGAGUCAGAGAUUCAAUAUUUCAAAAGGCAAAAUGGAAAAUGAGUCUAAUAUGUAUGCAAACAUGUGGAACAGAAAAAUCUUCCACUGUCAUCCACCACAAUGCCUUGACAUUACUAUCACCCCAAAUAAGACACAAUGAGAGGAGAAGAGGAAAAAGAUCUGUGAAUACAUAUCUGGAAUGGGAACUUCUGAGGAGCUCACAAACUUGGGUGUGGCAGAAGAGAUCCCAAAAGUAGGGGACAGAGUAAACAUUCCACAAACUUGGAGCUGUGCUGGCCUAAUGACUUCUUGACUAUCUGCCUCUGACAUUUGUGCACUAGAAAUAUAGCUUUGUGCUUUAGCUUCCUUUGUAAUGAGACCAUGAAAGAUUGGUCUGAGUCUAUGUGAACAGGAGGACAUGGUUUCAUAUUUUCCAAUACAAACAGGAGGCAGCAGAGCUGAAACUUCUCUUCAUAGGUAACUGUGGCCAUUGGUUUAUGAAUGUCUCCCUGUGUGGAUGGUGAAACCUUUGGCUCACCCUCCAGUUUUAAUGGCAUUUCUUGCAGCUUCCCUGGAAAAUUGGUGUUUGUUUUUGAAAUACAAAAAGUUCAACUGGGACACAUUGCUGGAGGGAGCUCUGUCACGUGGGGUGAGUCAGGGUCUGAAGGAAAAAACCCAAAAUGGGCUACAAUCCCAUAUAUCUUGCCCACUUGAGCAUAGCAACUUGAUUCUGAGCAUCACACCAAAUCCUCUCCCCACAACAACAUGCCUUUAUAUUUUAGGGUCUGCUGGCUGCACCUUGUCAGUCACAUGACAUUUGGAAUCCAGUGACAGAACCACAAGGGCCCACCACACGUGUUUGAUCACACACCUGCACUCCAUUGCUCAAGGCCCAGUUCCCUGCUGGCUCCUGCUCACUGGCAUAGCUGUUCUUCACCAUGGUCAUGAAUUCCACUCAGUCAAAAAUGGCACUCGCUGGUUUAGUCAUGAUGAGCAACAGGAGAUCUAAAGGUUCUCCAGGGAUUUCUGGUCAUUGGAUUUACAAAAACUUCAUUGUAUGGCAUAGGCAUAUUUCAAGAAUGAAGAAGUUGGCACUGUGGGUUUUGAUUCGUUCACGAACCAUUAAGGGUUGAGGAAUCUCCUUUCAGUGAAAGCUCUGGAGAUCUCAUGCAGGCAAGGCUUCCCAAGGAGUGGCAAAAGGUCACAUAAAAAUCUUCCACUGUUAUCCACUACAAUGCCUUGACAUUACUAUCACCCCAAAUAAGACACAAUGAGAGAAGUAGAGGAAGAAAAUCUGUGAAUACAUAUCUGGCUGUGAAAAUUUUGAGGAGCUCACAACCUUAGGUUUGGCAGAAUAGAGCCCAAAUGUAGGGGACAGGGUAAACAUUCCACAAACAUGGAGCUGUGCUGGCCUAAUGACUUCUUGACAACCUGCCUCUGACUUUUCGGCACUAGAAAUAGAGCUUUGUGCUUUAGCUAUCUUUGUAGUGAGACCAUCAAAGCUUGGUCUGAGUCUAUGUGAACAGGAGCACCUUGUUUCAUAUUUUCCAAUACGAACAGGAGGCAGCAGAAUUGAAUCCUCUCUUUGUCGGUAACUGUGGCCAUUGGGGUAUGAAUGUCUCCCUCGGUGGAUUGUGAAGCCAUUGGCUCACCCUGCAAUUUUAAUGACAUAGCAUUAUCUAGAUACAGCAGUCAGCCAAUAAGGAAUCCUUAUCAUCUUAAUGGCUCCGUGGGGUUGCCUCAUAAACCACUCCUCCUGGCAAACUGCCAGAUGCCAUCUUGACUUGAUUUAUGGUCCCCAACAUUGUAGAAGUUGUGAGAAAGCUAUUUAGAUGUUCCUGAUGAUGUCUACGAGGCCUGGGUGCCUAGAAUCAAUCUAAAUCUGAAACUACUUUAAGGAUAUUGAAUAGGAACACUGUGUCGUGUAACAUUUUUGUAUUUAGCUUUGCUUGUUGAUCUGCAAUCACUCUUAAGCCAUUAAUUAUUUAUUGUACUGUUCCAUUUAAAGUGUCAGAGAAUGAAGACAAAAAUCUCCAAAGACCAAAGUGAUGUUCCUGAACAGGAAGUUUCUCUAUGUGUCCUGUAUCCAUGUCUACUUUUUAAUUUUUCAUUAUAUUUCAACUAUAAUUGGAAAAACUCUCAUAUUACUUUCAGGUCU